rnacentral:rRNA from 1 species
UACGUAGGGGGCAAGCGUUGUCCGGAAUUAUUGGGCGUAAAGAGCGCGUAGGCGGUCCGAUAAGUCGGCUGUGAAAGUCAGGGGCUCAACCCUUGAAAGCCGGCCGAUACUGUCGGACUAGAGUCCGGAAGAGGCGAGUGGAAUUCCCGGUGUAGCGGUGAAAUGCGCAGAUAUCGGGAGGAACACCAAUGGCGAAGGCAGCUCGCUGGGACGUGACUGACGCUGAGACGCGAAAGCGUGGGGAGCAAACAGG